ACAGAGGUGGCAAGCGUUGUUCGGAAUUACUGGGCGUAAAGGGCGCGUAGGCGGUUCUGUAAGUCCCGCGUGAAAUCCCCCGGCUCAACUGGGGAACUGCGCGGGAAACUGUGGGGCUAGAGUUCAGGAGAGGGAAGCGGAAUUCCGGGUGUAGCGGUGAAAUGCGUAGAUAUCCGGAGGAACACCGGUGGCGAAGGCGGCUUCCUGGACUGACACUGACGCUGAGGCGCGAAAGCUAGGGGAGCAAACGGGA
rnacentral:rRNA from 1 species